rnacentral:rRNA from 1 species
GAUGAACGCUGGCGGCGUGCUUAACACAUGCAAGUCGAACGGUGAAGGCGGAGCUUGCUCUGCUGGAUCAGUGGCGAACGGGUGAGUAACACGUGAGCAAUCUGCCCCUGACUCUGGGAUAAGCGCUGGAAACGGCGUCUAAUACUGGAUACGAGCUGCGAAGGCAUCUUCAGCAGCUGGAAAGAAUUUCGGUCAGGGAUGAGCUCGCGGCCUAUCAGCUUGUUGGUGAGGUAAUGGCUCACCAAGGCGUCGACGGGUAGCCGGCCUGAGAGGGUGACCGGCGACACUGGGACUGAGAGACGGCCCAGACUCCUACGGGAGGCAGCAGUGGGGAAUAUUGCACAAUGGGCGAAAGCCUGAUGCAGCAACGCCGGGUGAGGGAAGACGGCCUUCGGGUUGAAAACCUCUUUUAGCAGGGAAGAAGCGAAAGUGACGGUACCUGAAGAAAAAGCGCCGGCUAACUACGUG